rnacentral:rRNA from 1 species
GACGAACGCUGGCGGCGUGCCUAAUACAUGCAAGUCGAGCGAAGUUUUUCUGGUGCUUGCACUAGAAAAACUUAGCGGCGAACGGGUGAGUAACACGUAAAGAACCUGCCUCAUAGACUGGGACAACUAUUGGAAACGAUAGCUAAUACCGUAUAACAGUAUUUCUCGCAUGAGAGAUAUUUAAAAGUUGGUUAUGCUAACACUAUGAGAUGGCUUUGCGGUGCAUUAGCUAGUUGGUGGGGUAAAGGCCCACCAAGGCGACGAUGCAUAGCCGACCUGAGAGGGUGAUCGGCCACACUGGGACUGAGACACGGCCCAGACUCCUACGGGAGGCAGCAGUAGGGAAUCUUCCGCAAUGGGCGAAAGCCUGACGGAGCAACGCCGCGUGAGUGAAGAAGGAUUUCGGUUCGUAAAGCUCUGUUGUUAGGGAAGAAUGGAUAUGUAGUAACUAUACAUGUAAGAGACGGUACCUAACCAGAAAGCCACGGCUAACUACGUG